rnacentral:rRNA from 1 species
GAUGAACGCUGGCGGCGUGCUUAACACAUGCAAGUCGAACGGAAAGGCCAGUGCUUGCACUGGUACUCGAGUGGCGAACGGGUGAGUAACACGUGGGUGAUCUGCCCUGUACUUCGGGAUAAGCUUGGGAAACUGGGUCUAAUACCGGAUAGGACAACUUUUUGGAUAUUGUUGUGGAAAGCUUUUGCGGUAUGGGAUGAGCUCGCGGCCUAUCAGCUUGUUGGUGGGGUAAUGGCCUACCAAGGCGUCGACGGGUAGCCGGCCUGAGAGGGUGUACGGCCACAUUGGGAAUGAGAUACGGGCCAGACUCCUACGGGAGGCAGCAGGGGGGAAUAUUGCACAAUGGGCGCAAGCCUGAUGCAGCGACGCCGCGUGGGGGAUGAAGGCCUUCGGGUUGUAAACUCCUUUCGCUAGGGACGAAGCUUUUUUGUGACGGUACCUGGAGAAGAAGCACCGGCUAACUACGUG